rnacentral:lncRNA from 7 species
AGACUUGGAGCAGCUCUCAAGCUUUAUUCUGCACGUUUUGAGAGUGUAUCAUCAAACGGGCUCUUUCAGAGCAGAGGAUUUCUGUGCUUGGAAACAGGCUGUUCUAAAACUGGGUGCCUGUUCCCUCUUGUACGGUAUUUUAAGAGAAACAAAAUUUAGCAUACUGAAAUCCUCAAUGAAACCAAAUUGUUUUUCUCUGCCUUGGACUAAAUGGCUGUUACUAUGGAUACUGUUAUAGUUUGUAGCGUUAUAUUGGAUUUUAUUAAAUUAUGGAAAAUAAUUAAGUAGAAAAGCAGGAAACAAAGGCUAUGUAGUCAGAUCCUUUUUUAGCUCAAGUAGUGUCUGGCAUUGCUUUCCACCAGGACAGUGGGAUGCUUUUUUCCCUAAUGAACUUUUCAUGUCCAAGAUGAAAUGCAGAUUCUGUAGACGAUUUAUUAAGAAAAGCACCAGUUUCAUGUGAGCAGUUUUCAGACCAACAGGGAAUUUAUAUAUGGAAAUCAUAUAUGAGUAUAGGGAAACACCUCAUAAAAAGAAUGACUACAUGGUCAGCAGCUGUAAUUUAUGUGCAUUCUUUUUUAAUAAAAAAAUGUGUGUUCAGACCAAUCUUUUUCAUUUUUAUAGCAGUUCAACAUGAUAGCUUCAACUGCAGUUGUUUAACCUUCUGAGUUUCUUUGUUUUGUUUUUGAAGAAAAGGAAAACUAAAACCAGCACUUUUUGUUUCAGAUACUGAACUUAUUCUUGUGCAAAAGGUGCAAUAAGGACACCUUUCUUCGCUGAAGGAAGCUGAAGUGAGUGUUGAUGGAAAUACUGCUGAUAAAAAUGUGUAUUGAAAAUAGACAAGCGGAUGUUAAGUACAAAAAAGAAGAUACUUGGAUUUGAUGGCUGAGCAUGAAUGGCUGCAUACAGGUAAUUGAGAUGAUAAGAGAAAACAAGAAGAAAAAACACUGUGAAAAAAUAACAACUUACAGUACACAAAGCAUCCUCUGCUUUCUUGAAGACAAUGUACCAUAUCAUGGUGGGGAUGAAAAAAAAAAAAAAAGCAGAUUUCUUUGGACAGCAAUCAUCCAUCAGCUUCUGAUGUUAAACCAAAUAGAAAGUACAUGAAGAGUGUAUCUCUACCAACAAGAUCCAUCAAGGUGAUGCUGGGGGACUUGAAGAGAAAAAUAUCUUCGUCAGUAUCAUUAGUACUGCAAACACACUGGAUACAGCAGCUGAAACCAAAACCUCAAGCAUUGUGUAACCACAUAAUAAAAGGCACUUCUUGAUCUUAUUUUUGUGUUUGAAGUAUAUACAUCAGACCGAAAGGAGAGGGAAGAGGAAUACCAGAAUGGGACUGAAAAGUCUGGCAGGAGGGGCUAGGCACCUGACCCAGUAUAGCUGAGGAGGGAGGCUGUACCAGAGGCAGGAACUGCUCCCCCGGAAUCUUAGCUAGCACUUCUAUAGCAUUCUCUUCAGUGAAAGAAGAAGAUAAAUAAAAUGGUUGAUGGGUUUAUCUUGUUUCAAUAAAGCAUUUGACUCUGUAUCAAUU